GGACCCGUGGCGCAAUGGUAGCGCAUCUGAUUCCAGUGUCAUGGAGGUUCCAGAAGGUUAUCCGUUCAAUCCGGGUCGGGUUCA